GCACGGGGCGUAAUCCAGAGGGCGCCCCGUGCUGCAGGCUGCUGCCUGCAAGUCUUGCGAGCCCGCGGGAACUCCCCCCCGGGCACGCAAGGCUUGCGGACACCUGCUUGAAGCACAGGCAUCCUCCGGAGGACGCCCCGUGC